rnacentral:rRNA from 1 species
UACGGAGGGGGCAAGCGUUGUUCGGAAUUACUGGGCGUAAAGGGCGCGCAGGCGGCUGCUCAAGUCAGGCGUGAAAGGCCUGGGCUCAACCCGGGAAUUGCGCUUGAGACUGGGCUGGCUUGAGUGCGGGAGAGGAUGGUGGAAUUCCCAGUGUAGAGGUGAAAUUCGUAGAUAUUGGGAAGAACACCGGUGGCGAAGGCGGCCAUCUGGACCGCAACUGACGCUGAGGCGCGAAAGCGUGGGGAGCAAACAGGAGUUAGAA